rnacentral:rRNA from 1 species
AGUGAACGCUGGCGGUAGGCCUAACACAUGCAAGUCGAACGGCAGCACAGUAAGAGCUUGCUCUUACGGGUGGCGAGUGGCGGACGGGUGAGGAAUACAUCGGAAUCUACUUUUUCGUGGGGGAUAACGUAGGGAAACUUACGCUAAUACCGCAUACGACCUACGGGUGAAAGCAGGGGAUCUUCGGACCUUGCGCGAUUGAAUGAGCCGAUGUCGGAUUAGCUAGUUGGCGGGGUAAAGGCCCACCAAGGCGACGAUCCGUAGCUGGUCUGAGAGGAUGAUCAGCCACACUGGAACUGAGACACGGUCCAGACUCCGACGGGAGGCAGCAGUGGGGAAUAUUGGACAAUGGGCGCAAGCCUGAUCCAGCCAUACCGCGUGGGUGAAGAAGGCCUUCGGGUUGUAAAGCCCUUUUGUUGGGAAAGAAAAGCAGCAGGUUAAUACCCCGCUGUUCUGACGGUACCCAAAGAAUAAGCACCGGCGAACUUCGU